rnacentral:miRNA from 1 species
UCAACCGCCGAACAGGCGAACU